rnacentral:rRNA from 1 species
UGGGGAAUAUUGCACAAUGGGGGAAACCCUGAUGCAGCGACGCCGCGUGAACGAAGAAGGUAUUCGUAUCGUAAAGUUCUGUCCUAUGGGAAGAUAAUGACAGUACCAUAGAAGAAAGCUCCGGCUAAAUACGUGCCAGCAGCCGCGGUAAUACGUAUGGAGCGAGCGUUGUCCAGAAUUAUUGGGCGUAAAGGGUACGCAGGCGGUUUAAUAAGUCGAAUGUUAAAGAUCGGGGCUCAACCCCGCAAAGCAUUGGAAACUGAUAAACUUGAGUAGUGGAGAGGAAAGUGGAAUUCCUAGUGUAGUGGUGAAAUACAUAGAUAUUAGGAGGAAUACCAGUAGCGAAGGCGACUUUCUGGACACAAACUGACGCUGAGGUACGAAAGCGUGGGGAGCAAACAGG